GCCCUUGUAGCUCAGUUGGUAGAGCACCUGAUUUGUAAUCAGGGGGUCGCGAGUUCGAACCUUGCCGGGGGCACCA
rnacentral:tRNA from 11 species